rnacentral:rRNA from 1 species
GAUGAACGCUGGCGGCGUGCCUAAUACAUGCAAGUCGAGCGAACGGACGAGAAGCUUGCUUCUCUGAUGUUAGCGGCGGACGGGUGAGUAACACGUGGAUAACCUACCUAUAAGACUGGGAUAACUUCGGGAAACCGUAGCUAAUACCGGAUAAUAUUUUGAACCGCAUGGUUCAAAAGUGAAAGACGGUCUUGCUGUCACUUAUAGAUGUAUCCGCGCUGCAUUAGCUAGUUGGUAAGGUAACGGCUUACCAAGGCAACGAUGCAUAGCCGACCUGAGAGGGUGAUCGGCCACACUGGAACUGAGACACGGUCCAGACUCCUACGGGAGGCAGCAGUAGGGAAUCUUCCGCAAUGGGCGAAAGCCUGACGGAGCAACGCCGCGUGAGUGAUGAAGGUCUUCGGAUCGUAAAACUCUGUUAUUAGGGAAGAACAUAUGUGUAAGUAACUGUGCACAUCUUGACGGUACCUAAUCAGAAAGCCACGGCUAACUACGU